rnacentral:tRNA from 4 species
GCGCCUUUAGUUCAGUCCGGUAGAACGCGGGUCUCCAAAACCCGAUGUCGUAGGUUCAAAUCCUACAGGGCGUG